AUACGUAGGGGGCGAGCGUUGUCCGGAAUGAUUGGGCGUAAAGGGCGCGUAGGCGGCCUGUUAAGUCUGGAGUGAAAGUCCUGUUUUCAAGAUGGGAAUUGCUUUGGAUACUGAUGGGCUUGAGUGCAGGAGAGGUUAUCGGAAUUCCCGGUGUAGCGGUGAAAUGCGUAGAGAUCGGGAGGAACACCAGUGGCGAAGGCGGGUAACUGGACUGCAACUGACGCUGAGGCGCGAAAGUGUGGGGAGCAAACAGGAUUAGAUACCCUGGUAGUCCACGCGGUAAACGAUGAAUGCUAGGUGUUGCGGGUAUCGACCCCUGCAGUGCCGGAGUAAACACAAUAAGCAUUCCGCCUGGGGAGUACGGCCGCAAGGUUGAAACUCAAAGGAAUUGACGGGG
rnacentral:rRNA from 1 species